GCUCUGCUGUCUUAGUGGUAGAGUAUUCGCCUCGGAUGCGGGAGGUCUCGUGUUCGAACCCAGCCCGAGUCGAACU